GUCAACAAGCUUGACAGAGUGUAUACAUUGAACAUUGCGUCCACCAAUAGAAAAACAAACAUUCUUUUUAAGCAGACAUGGAAUAUUGAUGGAAACUGACCAUAUGCUAGGCCUAAAUUCAUACUUAUUGUGAUAGCUUUGUAAUGUGUCAGUUUGGCUAGGCUGAACUACCCAUCUCAGACUUCCCUUUCUUCUGUGUUUCCAGUUAGCAUGAGCCACGUGUCAUGCUAUUCUGGAAGGCAGGAAGAAAGCAAAAGCCAUUUUGUAGCUCACACACUUCGUUGCUGAUCUGCAAACUCACCUUGGAAUAAAGCAGAGCUGGGCCUCAAUUAUUCCCCUUUUCUCCUGGAUCUUCCUUCAGUGUCACUGACUCCUGGACCAGAUUUGCUGCUCAGUCAUAAUAGGAUGUCAGCGGCCUUCAGUGCCUACAUCUUCCCGCAUCCCAUGAACUCACGUGGGAAAUACCUGGAGCCCAGAUCUUCCUGAGAGAGCUGCGGAAAAACCUGACACCUGCUCAGGGCUUUUUCAUAAUCAAAGGUAAUGACAGAGAAAAUGAAUAUGCCACUUUCUCCCACUGUCAGCUUAUUUUUAUUGUGCUCCAUUUUCAAAUCCUGGGGGUGCAUGUGGCAGGUAAAUGUCUUUUGUGUGUGUAUGUUUUGAUAAAAGAAAGAUAAGGCCACGCAGUAAGAUCCUAUACCCAAGGGAUUCUAGUGACAUGAUGGACACUUUAAUCUCCAUAUUUCUGGUCCCUACCGACCGUGAGUAAUAAAGGUGUUAGAAUAUCCUGAUUUAAAGCUUCUCUCCAUUCAUAACUGGGUGUGCCUAUUCAUAGAACCCUGGUCUAUUUGGGGAGCAAAUAAAAACUUGCCAUGACCAAGACAAGGCGGUGAGAGUCAUGGACAGGAAGCUGCCUCCUGCCUCCAGCUUUGAUGAGGAGAGAAGCAUCAUCAGACCCUCCAGCUGAGAGGGACUCUACUUCUUCUGUGCUGCCCUUGGUUGAAGACGUGGUGCACCCCCGCCUCAGUCACUAGCCGCAGGCCUUCUGGAAACAAAAAGGAUGGAGGUUGAUGAUUAGGACAAAGAGAGAUGACAGAAACAGAAGGCUGCAGUGUGGAGGCAAAGGAUCUAAAUAGAAAACAUUAAAGAAGUCUCACUCCGAUGAAUGAGGCCGAGCCUGCAGCUCAAGGAAACCCUGGAGACUGCAUAGGGUGUUGGAAGAAAGAAUCUCAGAAGAAAGAAAUCUUCCCAUGAAGAGAGAACAUCAAUUUCCAAGCCAGCAAGGGCGAGCUGGGGCCUCAGGAAGGAGGGGUGGGGUGGAGAGUGAACAGAUCCACACACUGGUAAGGUAGAUGAAUAAGAGAGAAACACCUAAAGCUUGCCCGAAAGCAAAGUCCUUGACCAGGUUUUUGUUCUGUGGAGGUCCCUUAAAACAACCCUGACUGGAGUUUUCUUUAACUGGCCCUGAGGGGAGAAAAAUGCCAGGACUCACCAAUGGAUGUUUCUCAAAUGCAAAGAAUCCUUCCAGUGGUCGUCUAUGUGUAGUGACGUGGGCAGCCCUGAUAUGAUCUGAGGGGUGCAGCGCAGUGGUUCCUCCCACACAGAUUCUGGCUCUGGCCCCAUCCUGGUUUUUGAACACCUAUCUACAUAACCUGCUAUGGAGUAAAGGUAUUGUUUGCCCAACACGCCUGUUGAAAGGCAAGUGUCCCUGGUAGGGUAAUCCAUUAGCAUUGGCAGGUCCUUCAGCAUAGAUGUGUGUCUCAGAUUAGAGGACUAGAAAGGCCUGGAAGUUGGGGAGAGUUAGUCUGAUAUGGAACAUUAGAGAGGAAUAGAGAAGGAGGGGAAGGAGAGAGGAGGGCAAAAGGGAGAGCAUUUUGACCAGCAUUUGGCCUUGAGACAGAAGGGGCUGAGUGAGGAUGAGAGCAGAAAUUUAAAUGGGAAGGUGUGGGGGCCCCUAAGGGGUUACUGUUUCUUCCACAAGCUACCAGGGCCAGACUCAUUCUUUCCUAAGGGCUCUCAUUCUUCCUCAAGCCCACUGGUGAAUUCACCUUUGAGUAUAGGCCAAAAGAGGAGACAACUCACUUCCUUUUAAUUAUUGAAACAAUAAUGUAAUAGCACCAUCAUUAAGCACUGGUUCUUAACUUGGGAGGGAGGUGAUCAUCGAACUCCUCUGAGAAUCUGAUGAAAGCUGUGCUCGUACUUCUCAAAAAAAUAAACAUAUGCACAGCCACACAAAAUAUGGUAUGUUUUCACUUGUUUUAUGGACACUGUGGGGGCCCAUCUCUGGGUCCCAUGAGAGGCCAUUGUCUCCUAGCUAAAAUGCUUUGAUUUAUUCUUUAAUAAUCCUAACACAGAGGUUUCAUUUUUGUGCAUUUAUUCUAAGCCCUCUUCCUUAUGCAUGCAUAAUUGUUACAGUGCAAUCAUAAUCUACAUACAAUUUAUGUGUUCUACUUUAUAAAAUCUAACAUUAUCUGGUAAACAUUUUUCUAUGUUGUUAUAUAUUCUUCACAAUUAUAAAUUUGAAUGAAUAUAUAAAAUUGUAUUGAAUUGUUGCAGUAUAAUUUUCUUAACUGUUCCUUAAUGACUAGGUGUUUAAAUGGCUUCUAAUUUUGUAGUAUAGAUAAUGCUACACUGAAUAUCCUUAUCCAUUUAUCUUGCUUCUGUUGAAUGUUUCCUUGAGAAAAAUUCCUACCCUUUACAAAAUCAAAGUGUAAGAAUAUUUUUAUGGGUCUUAAAAGAUGAUGUGAUAUUGCUUUCCAAAGAAGUUAUAAUUUUGGGUACCGCCAAUAGUAUACAAGUGUCCCAAUUUCCCCAAAUCUUUACCUAUAAUGGGUACUAUUAUUGAAUUUUUUUCUAAUUUAAUAGUUUUCAAAGCAUCAAGAAGAUAGUCUGAUGUUUGGUUGCCAAGGGGUGAAGUGGAGAAUGAGAAGAGUGUACUGGGAGGAUGGGGAAGUCUGGUCUAUAAUGGGAAUGGAUAAAGCUUCUAAGCUUUUCAGUAACAACUGGAACCAAGCAGGCUAUAUGAGUUAAGGAGCAGCACUCACGGACUUAGUAAACAGUACAUUCCCACUUUCUGUCCAAUCCCUUUUCAAGCUUCCACUUCUAAAUUUUAUCAGUCAAAAUGGAAACUGGGAGCUAGGGUUUGAUCAGGACCAACAGGGUUACUGUGGGUCACUUUGUAAGGCUACUGUGAUAUGGUAACAGUAUGGUUUAUCCUCAGGAUGUCAUUGUCUCUAAAAAAUUGCCUUGUGCUCCAUAGCAGCACUAUCCAAUAGAAACAUAAUGCAAGCCACAUAUACGUAGUUUUCAGUUUUCCAGUAGCCACACUAAAGAAAAAAAGUAAAAAGAAACAAAUGAUCCUCCUGACCUCAAAAUAUAUUACAAAGCUACAGUUGUUAAAACAUGGUACUAGCAUAAAGACAGACAUACACACCAAUGGAACAGAAUAGAAAGCUCAGAAAUAAACUCACAGGUAUACAUUCAACUGAGCUUUGACAAGGGUGUCAAGAAUAUAUAAGAGGGAAUGGACAGUAUCUUCAACAAAUGUUGUUGGGAAAACAGGAUAUCCACAUACAAAAUAAUGAAAUUAAAUCUUUAUCUUACUGUAUGCAUAAAAAUUAAUUCAAAAUUGAUUAAAGACUCAAACGUAAGACCUGAAACCAUAAAACUCCUAGAGAGAGGAAAAGCUUUAGUACACUGGGCUUGCUAAUAAUUUCUUAGAUAUGAUACCAAAGUACAAACAACAAAAGCAAAAUUGUACAAUGUGACUACAUGAAACUAAAAAGCUUCUGUACAACAAAGGAAACAAUUAACAGAAUGAAAAGGCAGCCUACAGAAAGGGAGAAAGUAUUUUCUAUAUAUAUAUUGAUAAGGGAUUAACAUCCAAAAUAAAUAAGUUCCUACGACUUAGUAGCAAAAAACCAAAUAAUCUGAUUUAAAAACAGGCAAACAGGCAAAGGACUUGAAUAGAAAUUUCUCCAAAGAAGACUUACAAAUGGCCAACAGGUGUAUGAAAAGAUGCUCAACAUCACUAAUCAUCAGGGAAAUGUGAAUCAAAGCCACAGUGAGAUAUCACCUCACACCCAUUGAUAUGGUUAUUGUCAAAAACAAAACAAGGCUGGGAGUAGUGGCUCACAUGUGUAAUGCCAGUACUGUGAGAGGCCAAGGCAGGAGGAUCACUUGAGGCCAGAAGCUCAAGACCAGCCUGAGCGAAACAGUAAGACCCCGUCUCUUCAAAAAAUUAAAAAAUUAGCUGGGCAUGGUGGUGUGCCCGUAAAAUCUCAGCUACUUGGAAGGCUGAGGUGGGAGGAUCGCUUGAGUCCAGGAGUUCGAGGCUGCAGUGAACUAUGAUCACACCACUACACACCAGCCUGGGUGACAGAGCAAGACCUUGUCUCAAAAAUAAAUAAAUAAAUCAGACAAAAAAGAUUAAAAUGUUGGUGAGACUGUGGAGAAAUUGGAAUUUUUAUAUACUGUUAGUGGGAAUGUAAAACAGUGCAGCCAAUAUAGAAAACAGUAUAAAGUUUCCUCAAAAAAUAAAAAAUAGAACUACCAUAUGUUCCAGCAAUUCCACUACUGGGUAUAUCCCAAAAGAAUUGAAAUUAGAAUCUUGCAGGGAUAUCUGUACUCCCAUGUCCAUUGCAGCAGUAUUAGCAAUAGCCAAGACAUGGAAGCAACCAAAAUGUUCACUGGCAGAUGAAUGGAUAAAAAAAUAUGGUAUAUAUAUACAAUGGAAUAUUAUUCAGCCUUUAAAAAGAAGAAAAUCCUGUCACUUGAGACAACAUGGAUGAACCCGGAGGACAUUAUGCUAAGUGAAAUGAGCCAGUCACAGAAGACAAAUACUGCAUGAUUCCACUUCUAUGAGGUACCUAAAAUAGUCAGACUCACACAAGCAGAAAAUAGAAGUGACUACCAGGAGCUGAGCUGGGGGGAGUAGGUUGGGACUUGUUCAGUUGAUAUAAAGUUUUGGUUAUGCAGGAGAAAUAACUUCUAGAGAUCUGCUGUACAGCAUAGCACCCAUAGUGAAUGGUACUGUAUUAUGCCCUUAAACAUUUGUUAUGAGGUUAGAUCUCAUGUUAAGCACUCUUGCCAAAAACAAACAACACAAAACAAAGAAAAAGGAAAAAAACAGUGGAGGGAGGACACAGGGAAACUUUUAAAGGUGAUGGAGAUGUCUAUUACCUUGAUUGUGGUGAUAGUUUUAUAGGUGUAUGCAUAUGUCCAAACUCUUCAAAUUAUAUGCAUUAAACGUACAUAGUUUUAAUAUAUCAAUUAUAUCUCAAUAAAACUAUUAAAAAACAAAUCAAAUUAACUUCAGUACUAUAUAUUAUUUAACCUGUCAUAUAUUUAAAAAUAUCAUUUCAGCAUGUAAUCAACAUAAAAAUUAUUAAGUAUUUUCACAGUCCUUUUUUCAUACUAAACCUUUGGAAACUGUUGCAUAUUUUAUACUAACAACACAUCCCAGUUCGAGACACCUAUAUUUCUAGUACUCAGUUGCCACAUGUGGUCAUGGCCACUGUAGUAGACAGUGCAGCUCUGUGGCCUCAGCCCACAGAGAUGAGCCUAGGAUGCUUUGCAUUGCAGAACUGUCUUUCUCUUAACGCUUGAGCUAUUGGGAAAUCAGAGCCAUGUUAUUUAUCAUGAAAGAGCAUUUGAUUAAAAGUAUAAAAUAUCCUAGGUCAGAUGGCUCACUGUAGUUGCAGGGGAGACAGUGAAUUGCUGACCAUGCACUGUGAUACAUCAAAAUAUAGGGACAUUCAGGCACCUCCUCAGCCUACUGAAUCAGGAUCUUUGGGGUGAGUCUAGAAAACAGAUUUUUAAGUACAGGUUUUAAUAUGAUAAUAAGUGGUGCCUGUUAUUAAUGGGAGGACAUUGAAUCCCAGAGAGAAUGAAUGACUCACUCAUGUUCUUCUCAUAGUUAGGGGUCAGCUAGACCUAGAACCUCACUUGGACCCACUAGACACCUUUCCACGCCCUCACCACAAUCACUGCCAACUGCUAUUCCAGCACAAUUCUUGCCAAGAAAAUACCUGCUGUCAUGUGACAGGUAUCAGCACACUUUAGGAGCAGUCAAGACAACUUCCUAAGAAGGUAAACUAUAUUUUCCCAACUUACCAAAUUAGAGUAAGAAGAAUAGAUUUCUUCCUUUAAUCUGGCUUUGUCUCAGACUGGAAGUGCUCUCUUGUCCAGUUAGAAACUAAUCGUGAUAAAAUUAGUAGGCCAGAAGGACACUCAUGGCCCAUCUUUAACAGGAUUUAUAGCCCUGGUUCCUUUUCUUGUUGCCUCUGUGGAAAUGUGCAAGCAUACACAUAGUUAGGAAGGUUUGAAGGAAAUGCCUUAGAGAAGUCUCAGUGACCAAGAAAAGCUAGUCAAAUUGCCAGCUUCGGCCACAGCCAUGUGUUAAAAUGCUCUGCAGACCCAAGUGUGAUCAUGAAACAAGUACAGCAAGAACAGCAGGUCUGUAAACAUCCUGAUGACAAUGGGGAACAAACAGCUGGGCCGAGACCAGAUCGGUUCAGGCAAAUGUGCUCGUGCUUUUGAUCCAAGUGCAAGAUGAGCGGAUGCAGGGGAGGCGGCAGCUGCGGCACAGCUGGACUCAGGAGGCAUGUGAUAGCGUGACUUGCAAAUCAUGCUGGAAAAAUUCAUUCUACUAAGCUUGGACGUGAACACAGUCACGUGGGGCCCAUCAGCUCACACACUGCAGCCAAGAGCGAGACAGAAAUGCAACCGGGCUAAUAAGAGGCGUCAGGCCCACUUCUAGUUGGACACGGCUGUCUUUCAGGGAAGGAAUGGGACAGGAAAUGCACUAUAUUUGGAAAUGACUCUAAAUUUAGAAUGAAAGACUGACUUGAGAAUACUGAAAACUUGAUUGAGAGAUACUUAAAUGUAUUUUAUAAGCAUGGAAGGCAUUUACUGGGGUCUCUACCAUAGUGUUUUUUGCUUGUUUGUUUGUUCGUUGAAGACAAGGUCUCACUGUGUCACCCAGACUGGAGUGCAGUGGCACAAUCACAGCUCACUGCAGCCUCAACCUCCUGGGCUCAAGUGUUCCUCAUGCGUCAGCCUCCAGAGUAGCUGAGGCUACUUGACCACAGGCAAGCACCACAUGCCUGGCUAAUUAAAAAAAUUUUUUUUUGUAGAGAUGGUAUCUCCCUGUGUUGCCCUGGCUGGUCUCAAACUCUUGGGCUAAAGUGAUCCUUCCACUUCAGCCUCCUAAAGUGCUGGGAUUGCAGUUGGGAGCCACAGCUCCUGGCUUCAUAGUGUUUAAUAUGAAAGGCUAUUCUGAUCUUUCCUACUGGUCUAGCACUUUGGGGUUUGCAAAGAGCCUUACAUUCACUUUCACUUCACCAAUGAGUAAAUAAGCCUCAGAAAAACUGAGUAAAUACUAGAGCUCCAGUGGCGCAAUCGGUUAGCGCGCGGUACUUAUACAGAAAAACUGAGUAAAUACUGAAUGUAUGUGUGUGUAGACAUACAAUAUUACAUGAUGUGCUAUUAAUAUAGCAUGUGUAUAUAUACUGUUUUACACAUAUUUAUAUAUAUUAUCAUACUAUAUAUGCAUAUAUGCAUACUAUUAUAAUCAUUCAUUUAACAAAUAUUUAUUGAGCAAUUACUUAGGUACCGGGCACAGUGCAGUAUAUCAACAAGGGUAAGGGAUGCAGACAUUGCAACUCUCAUGGAACUCAGAGCCUAGUUAGGAAGAAAACCAUUGCAUAAACAAUCACAACAUAAAUAUGAUUAGAGUCUGGAGUAAGUGCUACAAAAGAAAAGUCUAAGAGGUCACAAGAGUAUAAGAAGAGGGUCUGCCUUGCCUGGAGCAUCAGAUGCUCCCCUGAGGAAGGAGCCUGUGAGCUGAGCGGUCCGGAUGAGCAGGUGUUUUCUACAGUCUGUGCAUUGUGUCUGCUGAGAAUCUGGAAAUUAAAAAUGCUGCUGUUGGGGGUUUCACCAUGUACGGACGAGGCAGGAGUUCCUCCAAAAAAUACAAAUUCCAUGAGGUUAAAUCAGACCUCUCAGCCCCAAUCAAAAGGUAAGGACUUCGUGGAAGCUAAGGUCAAAGUCCAAUCGAUUUAAUAGACCCUGAGAAUGUAACAUCCUAUGGAAGCUGAAAUCUAAGUGCAGGUUAGUUCUCCCAAUUGCUUUCUGCCCUUUAAGGUUAGAGAAAGAUGACAGCAAGAAGCAUAAAACUCAGUUGUGGCUCUCAGAGCAGUCCUUGUUUUGAGGUUUUCUUUUUUCUGUCUUCUCCUUUCCCCCCUGUCUCCUCUCUGUCUUUGUCCUCCUUCCUCUACCUUCUUUAUUUUUCACUGUUAUAGAUUAGUACCAUCUAUUCUAUUAAUAUUGACUAUAAAUGCAUGUUUUCUUCAUGUUAAAUGCCUAUCAAUUGUCUUCUACCUUCCAAAAGUUAAAAAUGUAUAUAUGAUAUGGCAAAACUUGUGCUAGAUCACAAAAGCAAGCUUUCAUUUUGAUUUACACAGGUAUGUGUGUACACACAAACACACUAAAUACAAAGGGUUGCUGCUAUAGGCUAGCAUAAAUAGCUUCCUGAUUCUUAACACAUCAGGUAAUAUAAAUUCUGGUAAGCUCAGACUGCCUCUAUAUGUUCAUAUCAAUUAGCCUUAAGGGUCUUUUUCUGAAGCACACGGUAAAAUCAACACAGCAUUAGGAGCUAUUUUCUCAAAAACAAAGAGUUUGAAUUCUUGCUGUAGUAGUUCUGAAGUAAAAGAGAGGCUCCUUGCCCCUCGUUGUUCAAAGUCAUCCAUUUCCAACAGGCGAGGGCAUCAACAAUUUGGCAGAGGCAGGUAAAAAAGAGCCAGGGGAACCCAAGUGAAAUUUCAACACAGCGGUUGCCUUGGAACCCAUUUGGAGGUUAACUUGCUCUUGUUUCUCCAGCAUUUCCUUGCUGAAGGAAAUUUGUACUCCAAUUCCAGCCGCGUUCCAACUCCAAUAAAACAGUGAUAAGAUGCCCUGGAGGGUUGCAGCCAAGCCUGUGGGUGCAAACAGGGUCAAAUCACAUCAUGGGAAUGAGAUGGGAUUCUACAUAGUUUGAGUGUUGACUGUUUUCCUCUUGCCAACAGUGGGACGUUUGUUCUCAUUGUUAAAUAAUUAAAUAGGCAGUUUGUAUUUAUUUAACAUACAGACUGUAGCCAAUUCCUGCUGACAGCUACCAAAAUAACCCCAUAUUUCCUAGCUCUGAAUGGCUCAGAAGACUGUUUCCUGACUGCGGGAGCAUCACCGCAGAGCAAAACUCUCCUCCAAGUCUCCGAACACCUUUUUCAUCACUUUAAACAAUAAAUCAAUUCACAGCAUGUGAUCCAAAAACAACAGCCCAGUUUUAUUGGAUGAGGUUCAUUCCCAUUCUCUCAGGCACUCCUUCACUACCAGCACUGAGCUGUCUUGAAGCUGUACUUGGCUGUGGAUGGAAAAAAAAAAUCUACUAGUUUUCCUCAUUUACACUUGCCCAUUAAAAAAAGUGAAUUGUGACCUAAUAACUUAAAAAAGAAAAAAAAAAAGAAGAAUUAUAACUUGGAGGAGAAAGUAGAAAGUUUGGGAGAAGCAGGCCAAUCAGGAAGUCAGGGGAAACAAGUAUUUAAAUGUGGAGGUGGGUAGUCCUUGGAGCUUGGGAAUGAUUCAAGAUAAGGUAGAGACUCUCACUGGUCUCCUAAGGUGGUCAACAUGGCAGAGGGAAGAAACUGAGCAGUCAAAGAUAGCAUCCUCUGUGGAGGGUGGUGCUAAGAGAGAUUCUAGAACCAUUUACACAUGAUCAAUGCUUUGAUCCUGUCAUGUGUAUCAGAAGAGAUGUAGACCAGGCCGGGCAUGGUGGCUCACGCCUGUAAUCCCAGCACUUUGGGAGGCCAAGGUGGGCAGAUCACUUGAGGCCAGGAGUUCGAGACCAGCCUGGCCAACGUGGUGAAACACUGUCUCUACUAAAAAUACAACAACAAUUAGCUGGGCGUGGUGGCACGUACCUGUAAUCCCAGCUACUCGGGAGGCAGAGGUUGCAGUGACUGAGAUUGCACUACUGCACUCCACUCUGGGUGACAGAGAGAGACUCUGUCUCAAAAAAAAAAAAAAAAAAAAAAAAAAAAAAAAAAAAAAAAGGAGAUAUAGACCAGACUCCUCUUGAAAUUUCCUGGUAUUUGUAGUGUCUGAGGCAUUCAGACAGUAGGUGCUAAAGACUUAUCCCUAGGAGUCCGGAGUCCCACUUAAGUGGAAGAAGGAAGCGAUUUUCCCUGUCCUAAGUGGCUAGCUACCAGCCAGCAGCCAGGCGAUGUGUGGGUACUGACAUACCACAGCAUCUUCCUCUCGAUGCUCCCACUAAUGUGGCCACCAAAGGUCCACCCUAGAGGAAACAGCAAUGAAAGGAAACAGGACAAAAGACCCCGUGGCAAGAAAAAAGAUGGCCUAAUUUUUUCUUUCUCACCAUUCCUCUUGUCCUCUUAACCCAUCUCUUUACUGUGCAAUUUGCACUUUGAGUGGCUCUACAGAUGGUGGAUACAGUGAAGACCUCUGUUAUCAAUAUUAAAACUGAGCAUCAGUGAGUCAACAAGGCUCCACUUUGUCCUGUUCAACUUUAGCAGCACCACAGAGAUCAGAACUAAGUAAAGCCAUUUACACAAUUAAGGAGGAGGCUGCCUUUUAGAGUGGCACAAGCAUUUCCUCUGGAGUAGUGUGUCUGAACCAGGAAGUCCCUCUCUGCCUUGUCUGUGGAUUUUAGACAGUCUGAAUUCAGUUUCUUCUUCUGUGAAAUAGAUCAGCCCCACUUGUACUGUCAUAGUAUUGCUCUGAGUAUGGAAAAGGACAAUGGAAAAUGAGGUGCUCUGUAUUCUGUUAUUUGUCAUUAGUUGUGUUCUACUAACCAAACUUUAGGCAUGGUGGAGUUCAUUUCUGCCUCUUCUGGAGAUAGGAAACUAUAGAACUAACUUCAGAUGUAGAUUUUUUUAAAGUUGUCACUCUGUCCCUUUUCUUGUUUGUAAAAGGAGGAAGUGCUUCUGUGUGCCCUCCAAGGCUUCUUCCAACCUUCCAAAAAAAGAAAAAAAAGGCAGACAGUCCAUUCAAGGAUGGCAAUCAUGAAAUCUUGACCUACUUUGGAAUGAGAGGCAACAUCUAAGAAAACCUCAGCUUAAUCUCUAUUAGCUCACCACAGAAGCAUAUAUUCUGGGCUAAGAUCUCUCAGAAGCUGGGCCAUGGCCAUGGCAUGUGCUUAAAGCAUAAUAAAAUGGAUGUGGAAAAAAGAGGAGUGUAUCCCACCUGCUCAUUAUCUGGGGCCAUAUUCCUAGCAGGGUAGUUCAACUAUUCACAGCCAAGAAACAUUUUUGAUCAGAGUCCAAAUCUCCAUCCAGAAACAGGUUCCUGGCAUACCACUCAUGCCCCUGUAAUCAAUUCCCUGGACUGUGAAUCAAGUGACUACUGCCAGAGCAAUGGAGUUGGAUUGUUGACUUUUUGACAGGUCUCUCGCCUCUUUCUGCAUCUUAUGUCUUCCCCGCUCUCCUUCUUGCCCCACCUACUGAAGCCCUCUACCUUCAUCCCUUUUCUCCCUUACCAAUCUCUCCUCCCUCCAUUUUUUCCUUUCUCUGCACCUCAGCUGAUGGCAGAUACUAUUUUUCAUACUUCUAAGCUUGCAUCAGUAUCAACACAGCCAGAUUCACUCACAUUUCCCUCCCCCUCCUCCCUCCCUGUCCCACUCCAAUUCUUUCCAAGGAGAACUUGGGGAUUGUGUCCAAACUGGGACUGAAUACAACCAACGAGGAACCCGAUGAUCCAAGUCCCACCCCCACAGCACACUAUAAUCCAGCACUGUAUAGAGCAGUUCACAGAACCAAAUAUAAAGCCCUUAUUAAGAAUAAACAUGUUGGCUGGGUGUAGUGGCUCAUGCCUAUAAUCCCAACACUUUGGGAGGCUGAGUUGAGUGGAUAACUUGAGUCCAGGAGUUCAAGACCUGCCUGGGCAACAUGGUGAAGCCCUGUCUUUACGAAAAAUCCAAAAAAAAAAAAAGAUUAGCUGGGCAUGGGGCAUGCGCCUGUAGGCCUAGCUACUUGGGAGGCUGAGGUGGGAGGAUAGCUUGAAUCCAGGAGGUUGAGCUGCAGUUAGCCAUGAUUGCAUCACUGCAUUCCAGCCUGGGCAACAGAGCAAGAUCCAGUCUAAAACAAAAAAACAAAAAAAGAAGAAUGAACAUUAUUCCAUAUGGAGACUUAGCCUCUGUCAGUUAGACCCCUUGACAUCCAUAACACAGAACUGGAAACUGGACAAUGGGCAAAGAAAGAAAAAUCACAGGUUCAGGUUACAGAAAAGAAGGCAGGGAGAAAGGGCAAGUUAAUCUAAAUACUGGGUAAGAGACAAAAAGCUAAAUGAGAUGGAGGAGCAUUCCGUGGUGGGAGUGGGAGGUGUUAGUAAACAGGGGCUGUGGAGCAACAUGGGUCCAGGAGAGUUGGGGAGACAGAAAAGGACAUAUGAAAAGUGUUGCCAGCUGGUAAGUUACAUCCUCAUAACUUCUUCUUAAGACAUAGAAAUUAGAGGCUAAAUUCCUUUUUCAUUACUUUUGACUGAUCUGUAAGUUUGUGAAUAUAAAUCUCUGGAAACUGAGGCACAUGGUCAAGGAGGCACACAGGCUACACGCUGGAGUUUAGGUAACUCUCAGAUCUUCUGAGCCAUCUUCAGAUUAAUCUCAGAUCAAAGAGGUUUAGAAAGGGAGAUGAUCUUCAGGAAUCUCCCUUACAAUACACUCUCAUCAGAUGCAUUUUUCAAAGGACAUUUGCUUUAGCAGAAUUGGAGAGAGAUAAAUCGCAGCCCUGUGCAUUCGAUACUUGAUACAUCCUUCCUCCACUGAGAAGCUAAUGCUCUAGUUCUGGGUUUACCUGAAGCCAUUAGGAGAGCUAAAACUCCAUGUAGUGUGCUCUGCUAAAAGUAAGUGGAUUUCGGAGCUAGAAGAAGAAUUCUCUCUCUCUGUAGUUCAAAUGGCAUUCAGAAAUCCAAUUAACGUUGGUUUUUCUAAAGCAGAAUCUGUAAUUGUGUCCAAUACUGCCAACUGUUCAGUUCGAUAAUAAAACAGGCUAUUCUUAAGAUGGCCUGUAGUCAUUAGGGAAAGUCUAGCUCUGUAGGAUACAAUUUCUCUUUGGAAUAAUAUAUGUGAUGUUUUUAUAAUUUCUUUCAUCCAAGCAUUUCAAAGCAUUUUAAAAUAAUUUGGAGACACAGGAUAUAUAUUUUUCAUAAAUUAAGCUACAUAUGUCAAUACUUUGCCUAGGGACAGAAAUUAAUUAUUCCACAGAAGUGAUGCUGGUAUCUAAUCUUAUUACAUUUAUACUGUAAAAGUAUCAUUAUUAAUAAUUAUGACAGCUAUUAUUUAUUGAAAGCAGAAUGCUUAUCCUGUUAGGCAUUGUGUUAAGUGCUUUGCGUGUAUUAUCUCAUUUAAUCUUCCCAUGAAUCCAAUUCUAAAUCUAAUCCCAUUUCAGUAUGAUUCUAUGAGUAAAGUACUACUUCUAUCCUUUUUUCACAAAUGGUGUCAAUUAGGUUCAAAAAAGUUUAAGUAGCAUGCCCAUUGUCACAUCGCUAGUAAGAAUGGUGGAGCAUCUCUUAUUGGGGAGGACCAGUUAUUAAGAGUUCCGAUGGUCAAUUUCCUUUUCAAAUGUCACUUGUGUGGCAUAUUGUGCAGCCUGUUUGAUCAUGAAGAGAUGGCCUUCUUAAUUCUAGAACCGUGUGGCUAAAAUCUUUGCUAAUUCUUGAAUGUACCAAGGGCUCUACUGUCUCUCAACACCUUGUAAGUAAAGAAAACUUAAGGGUGAUUUUUAAAGUAUGGCAAAGAACAACCUUUCUCAACUGUCAGACAGUUCUCUAGAUCACAACUAUAGCACAUACCAUACCAAAAAUUACAAAAUUUGGAAACAUAAAGUUGUCAUCUUCCUCCUGGGUUAUUGCAGUGUCCUAAUUGUUCUCCUUGCUUCUCAUUUUGCCCCCUUGGAAUAAAACCCAUGGCUAAAUGUUUUAGCCUAGCUUACCAGUAAUCUGAUCUCAUCUUAUGCCACGCUCUUCCUAACCCACUCUAUUCCAGCCACACUCACUCAGCCUUUUCCAGCUCUUCAAACACACCAAGUUCUUCUUGCCUUUAUACAUACUAUCAUCUCCUGUUGAAACUUCAUACUCCUGCUCUUCUCCCAUAUUCCUUCCUCCUAUUUCUUGGCUCUUAAAUGUUAUAAAUGGUGUUCAGUCACAUACACACACACAUUCACAAACACACACCCCACGUCUAAAUUACACCCUGUUUUUCCUUCAUAGCUCUUAUCCAUAUUUACAGUUUUCUGUUGUUUUGAGUACUUUGUCUAAUGAGUGUCUCUUCAAUUGGACUAUAAGAUCCAUGAGGGAAAAUUUCAUAUCUCUUCAUUUACCAUUGUAUUCCCAGUGCCUGAUACACUGCCUGACUAUAUUAGAAGCCAGUGAACUAUUUCAUAAGUUGAGUGACUCUAAGUUUGAUUCCUUAUCAACCACCUAAUUGCUGUGUGACCUUUGGAAAUGCAUAUUCAACUUCUUCUCUGAGUGUCAGUCUUUUCAUCUGUUAAAUGGGGCUCACAAUACCUAUAUUACAGGAUCUACAUGGAGAAGAUGUAUGCUAAUAUAUAUAAAAUGCUUCAAAAAUUGUUAAACCUUGUAGAAUCUCGAACUUUAAAUUCAGUAUCGCCCCAUUGAAGCUAAGGGUGUUUCCGCCAGUUUAGUAGGCUAAACUUGCAGAAGGAGCAGACUUUGGACAGCAUGUGGGCAAUUUUCACAAGGCGUUUAACUGGGCUUCAAGCCCAGGGCACUCAGAGGCUCAGCAAGGAGUGAAAUAGGGCCAGCUCGCCCCCCGAGGGGUCCAUCGGUCCCUUGACUAAGCUGGUAUGCUUAUGUUGUGUAUUUGUGCAUCAUAAACACAGCCAUCUAUCUGGUUUUUUGUCCUCUUUUCUGACUGACUUCUCACUCAAAGCACAAAGAAAAAGAAAGGAAAUGCAAAGUCAUGUGCAUCAACAGAGCCUAUAUCUUUGAGUAUCUUAGUGACUUGGGAUUAUUUUAAGGGAAAAAAUAUGGGAAAGUUCUGCAGGGACCUAACACACAUGGCUGGCUAUCAUCUAUACUCCAAGUAGACAUCGCUUUCUUAACUGUUGUAGUUGUUUGGAAGGAAGGGUGUGUCUGAUGCAGCCUAGAACUUUUCCCAGGGAUUUUGGGGAAAGCUCUCUUCCUUCUUAUUGAUCUGGAUUUGAAAAAGCAAUAAUAUCUAAAACUACGUUAGGGGAAAGGUCAGAAAAGAGAAGUCACCUGAUAGAGAAAGGGUCAAGGUAGACAGAGGUCACCAGUGGAGACUAAGGUCUAAGACAUAUGGUUUCCUUUGACUUUCUUCUCCUCACCAGUGGGUAAAGUGGUGAACUGGAUAUCAGCAUUCUUGGAAACUCCUGGAAGUUUUCUAAUUCUCUACAGAACCAUGAAGUGAACAGGGCACUUCAAAGAAUACUUGAUCCAUAGCCCUUGCUUUUUCAUAGGUUAGUCUCUGAAACAAAUGAGAAAGUAAUUCACAUUAUAAGUGGUAUUCCAAAAACAACAGCCAUUUGGGAUUCUUAUCUGGUAUUGAGGGGUAGACAGGAUUUUUCCAAGCUUGAAUAAAAGUCCCAGGAUCUGCUAGACACGGGGAAUUUACCCUCUCUUCUUCACCCAUGUGAAAUCUCACUCCACGACCAUUCCCUGACCUAGGCCCCAUCAUCUCCUGCUUGGGCCACUUCAAGAGACUCCUAAGCAACUUUUCGCUUCUGGUCUGGUGCCUGCUCCACUUCACCCCCAAUCCAUUCACACUUUACCCAGAGUGAUCUUUCUGAAACAAAUCUAAUCAUACAAACCCUGCUUGAAUGUCUUCCAUCAUUCUCCACGGUUGUGGAGGUAAAGUCCACACUGUAACAUGGCCUAUGAGGCCUUCCUACCUCACCAGCAUCAUCUCGUAUAAUUCUUCCCAUAUCUCACCAUCCACCUCGGCCCACCUCUUAUUAUUCAGGCAUGCUGUUCUUAAGGCAGGUCCUGAACAGGCUGUGCUCUCUUGGGACUCUAGGUCUUUACAUAUCUGUGAAUUAUAAAGUUCACCUUCUCACUACUAUUAUUCAAAACAUUUUCUUGGAGCUCUUUCAUUGCGCUUAACAUUGUACUUGGCAGUAGAACAGACAGACAGGUAAACAAGUAGUUACAGUUCAGAUAUUACAGAGGACAAAAUGUAUAAAUGUGAUAGAAGCCAGAGAAAGGGGCAACUAAUUUGGUCAGGGCGGAGCAAAGGAAAGCUUCACAAGAAGAGAAGACCAAUCACAUUAGCUCAUGUUUAGUGAACAUUUACUUAGCUCUGAGCUAAAGUGUUUUACAAAUGUUAUCUUAUCAAAUUAUCAAAAUAACUCUAGGAAAUGGAUACUGUCAGGAGAGAGGAGAGCAUAACAGUUAAGCACAUGAGUUAGGCCUCAGCUUAAACCCUGUCUCUACCACUUAGAAGAUUUCUAGCCUUGAGCAAGUUGUUUAACUCCCAAGGCAUUUUUGUCAACUUCAAAAUGGAGAUAGAUAAUAGUUUUUUUAAAAAAAUUAGUUCUGGCUGGGCGCGGUGGCUCACGCCUGUAAUCCCA
rnacentral:lncRNA from 1 species